GACGAACGCUGGCGGCGUGCUUAACACAUGCAAGUCGAACGGAAAGGCCCUGCUUUUGUGGGGUGCUCGAGUGGCGAACGGGUGAGUAACACGUGAGUAACCUGCCCUUGACUUUGGGAUAACUUCAGGAAACUGGGGCUAAUACCGGAUAGGAGCUCCUGCUGCAUGGUGGGGGUUGGAAAGUUUCGGCGGUUGGGGAUGGACUCGCGGCUUAUCAGCUUGUUGGUGGGGUAGUGGCUUACCAAGGCUUUGACGGGUAGCCGGCCUGAGAGGGUGACCGGGCACAUUGGGACUGAGAUACGGCCCAGACUCCUACGGGAGGCAGUAGGGGGGAAUAUUGCACAAUGGGCGGAAGCCUGAUGCAGCAACGCCGGGUGCGGGAUGACGGCCUUCGGGUUGUAAACCGCUUUCGCCUGUGACGAAGCGUGAGUGACGGUAAUGGGUAAAGAAGCACCGGCUAACUACGUG
rnacentral:rRNA from 1 species